rnacentral:rRNA from 1 species
AUACGGAUGGUGCGAGCGUUGUUCGGAAUUACUGGGCGUAGAGGGCGCGUAGGCGGCGAUGUAAGUCAAAUGUGAAAGUCCUCGGCUUAACCGGGGAAGUGCAUCUGAAACUGCAUUGCUUGAGUAUGGGAGAGGAAAGUGGAAUUCCCGGUGUAGAGGUGAAAUUCGUAGAGAUCGGGAGGAAUACCGGUGGCGAAGGCGACUUUCUGGACCAAUACUGACGCUGAGGCGCGAAAGCGUGGGGAGCAAACAGGAUUAGAAACCCCAGUAGUCC